GUUUUAAUAAUUUAAGUAAAAUAUUGGUCUUGUAAACCAAAAAUAAGAAUAUUCUUUUAAAACU
rnacentral:tRNA from 1 species